rnacentral:rRNA from 1 species
UUAAGCGACUAAGCGUACACGGUGGAUGCCCUGGCAGUCAGAGGCGAUGAAGGACGUGCUAAUCUGCGAUAAGCGUCGGUAAGGUGAUAUGAACCGUUAUAACCGGCGAUUUCCGAAUGGGGAAACCCAGUGUGAUUCGUCACACUAUCAUUAACUGAAUCCAUAGGUUAAUGAGGCGAACCGGGGGAACUGAAACAUCUAAGUACCCCGAGGAAAAGAAAUCAACCGAGAUUCCCCCAGUAGCGGCGAGCGAACGGGGAGCAGCCCAGAGCCUGAAUCAGUGUGUGUGUUAGUGGAAGCGUCUGGAAAGGCGCGCGAUACAGGGUGACAGCCCCGUACACAAAAAUGCACAUGCUGUGAGCUCGAUGAGUAGGGCGGGACACGUGGUAUCCUGUCUGAAUAUGGGGGGACCAUCCUCCAAGGCUAAAUACUCCUGACUGACCGAUAGUGAACCAGUACCGUGAGGGAAAGGCGAAAAGAACCCCGGCGAGGGGAGUGAAAAAGAACCUGAAACCGUGUACGUACAAGCAGUGGGAGCACGCUUAGGCGUGUGACUGCGUACCUUUUGUAUAAUGGGUCAGCGACUUAUAUUCUGUAGCAAGGUUAACCGAAUAGGGGAGCCGAAGGGAAACCGAGUCUUAACUGGGCGUUAAGUUGCAGGGUAUAGACCCGAAACCCGGUGAUCUAGCCAUGGGCAGGUUGAAGGUUGGGUAACACUAACUGGAGGACCGAACCGACUAAUGUUGAAAAAUUAGCGGAUGACUUGUGGCUGGGGGUGAAAGGCCAAUCAAACCGGGAGAUAGCUGGUUCUCCCCGAAAGCUAUUUAGGUAGCGCCUCGUGAAUUCAUCUCCGGGGGUAGAGCACUGUUUCGGCAAGGGGGUCAUCCCGACUUACCAACCCGAUGCAAACUGCGAAUACCGGAGAAUGUUAUCACGGGAGACACACGGCGGGUGCUAACGUCCGUCGUGAAGAGGGAAACAACCCAGACCGCCAGCUAAGGUCCCAAAGUCAUGGUUAAGUGGGAAACGAUGUGGGAAGGCCCAGACAGCCAGGAUGUUGGCUUAGAAGCAGCCAUCAUUUAAAGAAAGCGUAAUAGCUCACUGGUCGAGUCGGCCUGCGCGGAAGAUGUAACGGGGCUAAACCAUGCACCGAAGCUGCGGCAGCGACACUAUGUGUUGUUGGGUAGGGGAGCGUUCUGUAAGCCUGUGAAGGUGUACUGUGAGGUAUGCUGGAGGUAUCAGAAGUGCGAAUGCUGACAUAAGUAACGAUAAAGCGGGUGAAAAGCCCGCUCGCCGGAAGACCAAGGGUUCCUGUCCAACGUUAAUCGGGGCAGGGUGAGUCGACCCCUAAGGCGAGGCCGAAAGGCGUAGUCGAUGGGAAACAGGUUAAUAUUCCUGUACUUGGUGUUACUGCGAAGGGGGGACGGAGAAGGCUAUGUUGGCCGGGCGACGGUUGUCCCGGUUUAAGCGUGUAGGCUGGUUUUCCAGGCAAAUCCGGAAAAUCAAGGCUGAGGCGUGAUGACGAGGCACUACGGUGCUGAAGCAACAAAUGCCCUGCUUCCAGGAAAAGCCUCUAAGCAUCAGGUAACAUCAAAUCGUACCCCAAACCGACACAGGUGGUCAGGUAGAGAAUACCAAGGCGCUUGAGAGAACUCGGGUGAAGGAACUAGGCAAAAUGGUGCCGUAACUUCGGGAGAAGGCACGCUGAUAUGUAGGUGAAGUCCCUCGCGGAUGGAGCUGAAAUCAGUCGAAGAUACCAGCUGGCUGCAACUGUUUAUUAAAAACACAGCACUGUGCAAACACGAAAGUGGACGUAUACGGUGUGACGCCUGCCCGGUGCCGGAAGGUUAAUUGAUGGGGUCAGCGCAAGCGAAGCUCUUGAUCGAAGCCCCGGUAAACGGCGGCCGUAACUAUAACGGUCCUAAGGUAGCGAAAUUCCUUGUCGGGUAAGUUCCGACCUGCACGAAUGGCGUAAUGAUGGCCAGGCUGUCUCCACCCGAGACUCAGUGAAAUUGAACUCGCUGUGAAGAUGCAGUGUACCCGCGGCAAGACGGAAAGACCCCGUGAACCUUUACUAUAGCUUGACACUGAACAUUGAGCCUUGAUGUGUAGGAUAGGUGGGAGGCUUUGAAGUGUGGACGCCAGUCUGCAUGGAGCCGACCUUGAAAUACCACCCUUUAAUGUUUGAUGUUCUAACGUUGACCCGUAAUCCGGGUUGCGGACAGUGUCUGGUGGGUAGUUUGACUGGGGCGGUCUCCUCCUAAAGAGUAACGGAGGAGCACGAAGGUUGGCUAAUCCUGGUCGGACAUCAGGAGGUUAGUGCAAUGGCAUAAGCCAGCUUGACUGCGAGCGUGACGGCGCGAGCAGGUGCGAAAGCAGGUCAUAGUGAUCCGGUGGUUCUGAAUGGAAGGGCCAUCGCUCAACGGAUAAAAGGUACUCCGGGGAUAACAGGCUGAUACCGCCCAAGAGUUCAUAUCGACGGCGGUGUUUGGCACCUCGAUGUCGGCUCAUCACAUCCUGGGGCUGAAGUAGGUCCCAAGGGUAUGGCUGUUCGCCAUUUAAAGUGGUACGCGAGCUGGGUUUAGAACGUCGUGAGACAGUUCGGUCCCUAUCUGCCGUGGGCGCUGGAGAACUGAGGGGGGCUGCUCCUAGUACGAGAGGACCGGAGUGGACGCAUCACUGGUGUUCGGGUUGUCAUGCCAAUGGCACUGCCCGGUAGCUAAAUGCGGAAGAGAUAAGUGCUGAAAGCAUCUAAGCACGAAACUUGCCCCGAGAUGAGUUCUCCCUGACUCCUUGAGAGUCCUGAAGGAACGUUGAAGACGACGACGUUGAUAGGCCGGGUGUGUAAGCGCAGCGAUGCGUUGAGCUAACCGGUACUAAUGAACCGUGAGGCUUAACCUU